UGACCAAAACACGGAAGUUGGGAAUUUUCCCGCUAGAAAAAUAGCGGUAACAGAAUGAGAGGAAUGACGGCAGUGUUGUGGGUAUGGUCACUGUGAAAAUAAGUGAGCUGAUUUUGUGCCUCCGUGAGACGAAGUAGUAUUAAGUCUAUAGACGAGACGGUCGAGUUAAGCGGCUGACCAGAGUGUGCCUGCUUGGGUGUUGCAGAGGAUCGGUGAGGGAUCGGUUAGUGUUUUAUUUCCCUCCGUGCCGAGAGCGGACGCAAUACGGCAGCGGGUCAGCAGGGGAGAGAAAGCUGAGUGAGCUGCAUCGUUUGGGGCCAGGUUCUCAAACUCUACGUUAGAAGUGAGUGAAGCCAUUUUUUUUAGUUAUAGCACACGGGUUGAUAAAAUUGCAUUUCGUUUACAGUUGUUAAUUGAAUUCACCUAUAUGAGUUAUCAAUCAAUGCAUGUUGUUACUGUGAAUUAUGUGUUAUUGUAAAAUUACUGAACUGAGUGUGGCUAGAAAUGUGCAUUUUGUGUUUUUUGUUUAGAAAAAGUGAGAGCCACUCCUGUUUGUUUUUUAGUGGUAAAAAUUGAAGCCAAGUGAAGCCAGAGGGAAAACUGAAUUUUAUUUUAUUUCAUUUAUUUCAAUUUUUGUAUAUGUGAAUGUCACCCUCAAAAUUAAACCCUUAAUGCUGGGCUUUCUUUUUAUUAUAUAAGUUCAGUCACGGAAUAAACAACCCAAAAUUA